rnacentral:rRNA from 1 species
CCUGCCCAUUGAAUAAAAUUUAAAAGGCCGCGGUAUAUUAACUGUGCAAAGGUAGCAUAAUCAUUAGCUUUUUAAUUGAAGGCUUGUAUGAAGGGUUUGACAAAGAAAUAACUGUCUUUAUUUUUAUUUUUGAAAUUAACUUUUAAGUGAAAAGGCUUAAAURAAUUUAAGGGACGAUAAGACCCUAUAAAUCUUUAUAUUAAUUUGAUUUUCUUGUUUAUUAAUAUAAUUUGUUUAAAUUUAAUAAGUAAAAUAAAAAAUAUUUUGUUGGGGUGAUGAGAAUAUAAAUUUAACUGUUCUUAUAUAAAACAAAGUUGUUUGUUAAAGGUUAAUAGAUCCUUUUUAGAGAUUGAAAGUUUAAGUUACUUUAGGGAUAACAGCGUUAUUUUUUUUGAGAGUUCUUAUCGAAAAAAAAGUUUGCGACCUCGAUGUUGAAUUAAAAUUUCCCUAUGGUGUAGAGGUUGUAGGAGGAAAGUCUGUUCCACUUUU